rnacentral:rRNA from 1 species
AGAGUUUGAUCCUGGCUCAGGAUGGACGCUAGCUACAGGCUUAACACAUGCAAGUCGAGGGGAAACGACAUCGAAAGCUUGCUUUUGAUGGGCGUCGACCGGCGCACGGGUGAGUAACGCGUAUCCAACCUGCCCACCACUUGGGGAUAACCUUGCGAAAGUAAGACUAAUACCCAAUGACGUCUCUAGAAGACAUCUGAAAGAGAUUAAAGAUUUAUCGGUGAUGGAUGGGGAUGCGUCUGAUUAGCUUGUUGGCGGGGUAACGGCCGCAAGGCUACGAUCAGUAGGGGUUCUGAGAGGAAGGUCCCCCCANAUUGGAACUGAGACACGGUCCAAACUCCUACGGGAGGCA